rnacentral:lncRNA from 1 species
UCAUUAGGAAAGCCACGUGAAUUAAAGAUCAUCAGAAGUGAAGUAGGUCAGAAGACAAUGAUGAAAUUGCGUUAUCAAAGAAUUCAGUCCUAUUCCCAUCGAAGCAAGUAAAUCUGGAUGCUGAGCUAAAUGGAAAGAGAAUUCAUUGCAUUCAUCUACACAGCACCCUAAAAGCCUAGAUGAUAGCAGUAUCCCAGGCUCCAUACUAGCAAAGUACUCUGAGAGUGCAGCUUCUGUCUGUAUGGUAUUUCAAAUUCAAGAGGGACACAGACCAGAGCUCCGAGCUGAACAGAGGCUGGGCAGCAGCGAUGCAUUAUGGUC